UACGAAGGGGGCUAGCGUUGCUCGGAAUCACUGGGCGUAAAGGGUGCGUAGGCGGGUUUUUAAGUCAGGGGUGAAAUCCUGGAGCUCAACUCCAGAACUGCCUUUGAUACUGGGGAUCUCGAGUCCGGGAGAGGUGAGUGGAACUGCGAGUGUAGAGGUGAAAUUCGUAGAUAUUCGCAAGAACACCAGUGGCGAAGGCGGCUCACUGGCCCGGAACUGACGCUGAGGUGCGAAAGCGUGGGGAGCAAACAGG
rnacentral:rRNA from 1 species